ACAGUCACUCCUGCAGUUGACAGCUUUUGGAGGCAGCGUUCCAAGCCAACCUUCUCCAUAGCUGGGCUGUUACAUCUCCCAUCUCCUAUGAUGCUCAGUGGGUCUACUUUUGACUGCAAGAGUGUCUCCUGGUGACUCUUCCAUGUUUCAUCAAUGACAGGAAACACACACUGAUCUUGGAUUCUAUGUUUGUCCAGAAAACAAG